rnacentral:rRNA from 1 species
GACGAACGCUGGCGGCGUGCCUAAUACAUGCAAGUCGAACGCUUCUUUCCUCCCGAGUGCUUGCACUCAAUUGGAAAGAGGAGUGGCGGACGGGUGAGUAACACGUGGGUAACCUACCCAUCAGAGGGGGAUAACACUUGGAGACAGGUGCUAAUACCGCAUAACAGUUUAUGCCGCAUGGCAUAAGAGUGAAAGGCGCUUUCGGGUGUCGCUGAUGGAUGGACCCGCGGUGCAUUAGCUAGUUGGUGUGGUAACGGCUCACCAAGGCCACGAUGCAGAGCCGACCUGAGAGGGUGAUCGGCCACACUGGGACUGAGACACGGCCCAGACUCCUACGGGAGGUAGCAGUAGGGAAUCUUCGGCAAUGGACGGAAGUCUGACCGAGCAACGCCGCGUGAGUGAAGAAGGUUUUCGGAUCGUAAAACUCUGUUGUUAGAGAAGAACAAGGACGUUAGUAGCUGAACGUCCCCUGACGGUAUCUAACCAGAAAGCCACGGCUAACUACGUGCCAGCCGCCGCGGUAA